rnacentral:tRNA from 3 species
GCGCGUGUAGCUCAGAGGAUAGAGCGCCUGCCUCCGGAGCAGGAAGUCGCAGGUUCGACUCCUGCCACGCGCACCA